AUAGAUUUUUUUUUUUUUUAUCCCAUCAGCGAAAGAGUUGAUUAGGGAAUUUUUGUCCGGGGUUCUAUUAUUUUCUGAAAUCUUGGAUGUCAUUUGUAACAAUUGUCAACUUAAGCUGCGAGGAUGUCACUACGAUACUUUAGCUCUGUAUGACAAUGCUGUUGAGAGAAACAUCUGAUAAGAGUUUCACAUCUAAAAUGAUGCCUUUUCUGUAAAAAGCAGCUUUUUAGUCUCUUAAUCACAAUCUCAAAGGGAAGCGUAGAGGCGAGGACUUCUGAAUGGCAUGUCGUUUUCAUCGAAGGACAGGUGCUUGUCUGCAUUAAUAUCUAAAAUUCAACUUAUGCUCCUCAUUUUC
rnacentral:misc_RNA from 1 species